GACGAACGCUGGCGGCGUGCCUAACACAUGCAAGUCGAGCGAGUGAAUCUCCUUCGGGAGUGAAGCUAGCGGCGGACGGGUGAGUAACACGUGGGCAACCUGCCUCAUAGAGGGGAAUAGCCUUCCGAAAGGAAGAUUAAUACCGCAUAAGAUUGCAGCUUCGCAUGAAGUAGCAAUUAAAGGAGCAAUCCGCUAUGAGAUGGGCCCGCGGCGCAUUAGCUAGUUGGUGAGGUAACGGCUCACCAAGGCGACGAUGCGUAGCCGACCUGAGAGGGUGAUCGGCCACAUUGGGACUGAGACACGGCCCAGACUCCUACGGGAGGCAGCAGUGGGGAAUAUUGCACAAUGGGGGAAACCCUGAUGCAGCAACGCCGCGUGAGUGAUGACGGCCUUCGGGUUGUAAAGCUCUGUCUUCAGGGACGAUAAUGACGGUACCUGAGGAGGAAGCCACGGCUAACUACGUGCCAGCAGCCGCCGUAA
rnacentral:rRNA from 1 species